rnacentral:rRNA from 1 species
GACGAACGCUGGCGGCGUGCCUAAUACAUGCAAGUCGAACGCAUUUUCUUUCACCGUAGCUUGCUACACCGAAAGAAAAUGAGUGGCGAACGGGUGAGUAACACGUGGGUAACCUGCCCAUCAGCGGGGGAUAACACUUGGAAACAGGUGCUAAUACCGCAUAAUUCCAUUUACCGCAUGGUAAAUGGAUGAAAGGCGCUUUUGCGUCACUGAUGGAUGGACCCGCGGUGCAUUAGCUAGUUGGUGGGGUAACGGCCUACCAAGGCUGCGAUGCAUAGCCGACCUGGGAGGGUGAUCGGCCACACUGGGACUGAGACACGGCCCAGACUCCUACGGGAGGCAGCAGUAGGGAAUCUUCGGCAAUGGACGCAAGUCUGACCGAGCAACGCCGCGUGAUUGAAGAAGGUUUUCGGAUCGUAAAACUCUGUUGUUAGAGAAGAACAAGGAUGAGAGUGGAAAGUUCAUCCCUUGACGGUAUCUAACCAGAAAGCCACGGCUAACUACGUG